rnacentral:rRNA from 1 species
UACGUAGGGUGCGAGCGUUGUCCGGAAUUAUUGGGCGUAAAGGGCUCGUAGGCGGUUUGUCGCGUCGGGAGUGAAAUCCACUGGCUUAACUGGUGGCUUGCUUUCGAUACGGGCAGACUGGAGGUAUGCAGGGGAGAACGGAAUUCCUGGUGUAGCGGUGAAAUGCGCAGAUAUCAGGAGGAACACCGGUGGCGAAGGCGGAUCUCUGGGCAUGUCCUGACGCUGAGGAGCGAAAGUGUGGGGAGCGAACAGG